GUUAGUUUGUUAUAACUAAUUCUUAAAUUAGUUAGGAUUGAGUCUAAAAAUUAGUUAGAAUUUGACCAAGAUUAAUGAGUCCUAUUUCGAAUAGGGCUGAACCAACUCCCUCCACCCAUCUAUUUAAGAUCUCUCCAUGCCUAAACUCCUCUUUACCAUGAGUAUUCAUGCCCCACACAAGGUCCCACGUCCUCUCCUCUCUUUCAUGUAAAAAAGAAGCCAUCUUCUCCUUUUUUGGUCGC
rnacentral:lncRNA from 1 species